rnacentral:pre_miRNA from 1 species
UGGACAAAUUAUUGUAUUCGAUUGUAUUCACGGCGUGAAACAGGGGAUUACACUGUUUUUAAACGGAAAGUGAAUCAAUUAACAUAAUAGACUCCU